CCUAUUACAUUGGGACUAACAUAACACUCUGGCGAAAAGUGGGUGCAGCAAUGCACCUCUGCCUACCCCGCAAGGGAGUACAUUAGUACAAGGCGUGAGUGCUUGUUUUUUUUGUUUUUUGUUCAAAUAGAACUCUUGAGUCACUCCGUUUCGGCUUAUCAUCCCACUUUUGCAACUUUGCAUUCUGUAUAACAAAAUAAGGAUUGCGAUAAACAAUAAUAUCCAUUCUUCUCUAUUAAUGUAACUUUCAGUUGAGUUGAGCGUAACUGUGAUUAAAAUGUGUAUAAGUACCUACGUAAAUCGUUUAUGUAUGUAUCUUUUUACCCACUACGGCAGACAUAUAGGUUUAUUAUGUGUUAUGGACAUUUGUAUGGUAUGUUAUGUUCAAUAGCUCCAUUUCGUGCCAAUAUUUAUCUGAAAUGACAAAUAUUUGCUGACGCCAAGAGUUGUUAUGUUUGGUAUUUGCGAUAUUGAAUAAUAUUUUCAUGUACACUGCAAUUGAACAGUUCAAUUUCGUCACAAUCGGAUAUCAGUAUUCAAUUCAUAAACUAACGUCACAUUGAGCUCAGUUGAUAAGAUGUGAACACGCAAUAUGCGUCAAUAAUACUCUGUAUUGUGUCAUUAGUACUAUUAUUAUUACCUUCAUGUAACUCCUUCUUAUCGUGUCGAUGACAAACUAAGUCACUAAAUACACUCGCGAGCAAUGAAAUAGUUCCAUGACAAUAGCACGAAAUUACUCCUAAACGGAAGAGGCUAGCUUAAUUACGCCAUCUGAAAUUUUGAAGUAUCUACAUUUAACAGCGCUUCAGAAUAUUAGCAACUAUAAAAGUAAAUAUUGUUUAUUUUUUAAAUAUACAAUGUUUUAAAAAUAGCGGCUAUUUGAUGUGUGUAUUCUGUAAGUUGAACUUUUUCAAUGCUCGUGAGUGUAUAUUGAAUAUACCUAGCCGGUGUCCACUAUAUUUUAACAUUCUUUACAAGAACCAACCUUUAAUUAAUAUCCUUUUAUCAGAAAUCAACAUAUUUAUAUUUAUUGGUCUAUAACAAGGCCACAUCACUUGACUUUGAUAUAAUACUUGACCUCAAUAAGUUAAUGCAGUCUACUAUCAUCUAUAAACCUAUUAAUUAUAAGUAAGUACUUUAAGUGCUAAAGCAUUAAUAAGAUAGAUAAGUAGAUAUUACGAAUAGUAUCUAUUUCGGAUAAUAUAUCCUAAUUAAUCGUUUUGUGUAAACUUAUAACUUAUAAUAUUAAAAAAGACAUUAGAACAUUUUAUAUUGUUAUUGUUUAAUCAGUGAAUUUAGGUUAGGAUUUCUUGAAUAAAUGUAUCUUUACUCUUA